AGAGUUUGAUCCUGGCUCAGGGUGAACGCUGGCGGCGUGCCUUAGGCAUGCAAGUAGAACGGACCGAGCUUGCUCGGUAAGUUGCGAACGGCUGAGUAACGCGUAAGUAUCUACCUUUUAGUGGGGAAUACCUCCGAGAAAUCGGAGCUAAUACCGCAUAAUAUCUACGGAUGAAAGGGCUUAACUGCCCGCUGAUAGAGGAGCUUGCGUACCAUCAGUUUGUUGGUGGGGUAACGGCCUACCAAGACUACGACGGUUAGGGGAUGUGAGAGCAUGAUCCCCCAGAAUGGCACUGAGAUACGGGCCAUACACCUACGGGUGGCAGCAACUAGGAAUCGUGCGCAAUGGACGAAAGUCUGACGCCGCGACGCCGCGUGUGGGAUGACGGUCUUUGGAUUGUAAACCACUUUUGUCCGCCAAGAAAUGGGCGGAAGAAUAAGCACCCGCUAACUACGUGCCAGCAGCUGCGGUGAUACGUAGGGUGCAAGCGUUACCCGGAUUUAUUGGGCGUAAAGAGUUUCGUAGGCGAUUGGGAAAGUUAUAUUUCAAAUCCCGAGGCUCAACCUCGGAAAGGAGUGUAAUACUACCCGAAUUGAAGAAUCUAAGGGCUACCGGAACUAUCGGUGUAGGAGUGAAAUCCGUUGAUAUCGAUAGGAACACCAAGGGCGAAGGCAGGUAGCUGGGGAUUUCUUGACGCUGAGGUACGAAAGCCAGGGGGGCGAAAGGGAUUAGAGACCCCUGUAGUCCUGGCCGUAAACAAUGCUCGCUAGCCAUAGGUCUCGCCCUUUUUUCAAUUUCUUAAGUAGGAAAAAAUGCAAUUAUAUUUCUGUUAGGUUUUAGUUUUUACUUAAGUUUUAGUUUAAUUAUUGAAGAAAGAGCGAGAUCUGUGGCGUAAGCUAACGCGUUAAGCGAGCCGCCUGGGGAGUACGAACGCAAGUUUAAAACUCAAAGGAAUUGACGGGGACCCGCACAACCAGUGGAGCACGUGGUUUAAUUCGAGACGAACCGAAGAACCUUACCUGGAUUUGACAUACUAGGCAUUUAGUUUUUCAGAAAUGAGAGAUGAUUCGUGAUUUCAUGAAACCUAGUACAGGUGGUGCAUGGCUGUCGUCAGCUCGUGUCGUGAGGUGUUCCCUUCAGUGGGGUAACGAGCGCAACCCUUGCCAUAUGUUGAAUAUUCAUAUGGGACUACCCCGUUUUACGGGGAGGAAGCGAGGACGACGUCAAGUCAGCAUGUCCCUUAUAUCCAGGGCGACACACAUGCUACAAUGGGACCGACAAUGGGUUGCCAAGCCGUAAGGCGGAGCUAAUCCCAUCAAACGGUCUCUCAGUUGGGAUUGAGGGCUGAAACCCGCCCUCAUGAACUUGGAAUUGGUAGUAAUCGCGGAUCAGCCAAGCCGCGGUGAAUACGUUCUCGGGUCUUGUACACACCGCCCGUCAAGUCAGCAAAGUUGGGGGCACCCGAAUCUCGAUUGUAUCGGGAGAAGGUGAAACCAGCGAUGAGGAUUAAGUCGUAACAAGGUA
rnacentral:rRNA from 2 species